rnacentral:lncRNA from 1 species
AAAAAUAUAUCUUAAGUUUUCAGUUUCGACCCCGUUUGGUCACUGAAAACUGUACCGAACUGUAAUCUUUAUUAGAUAGCUGUCGGAUUUUAUUUCUCACUCUACGGGUGUCAGAAAAAUAUGAAACUUUAAAUCUAGCCUCAUAAAAAUAUUUUUGACUUAUCCUCCAAUUUUCAUAAUUUUCUGAGACUGUGCAUUUUUUGCUAAUUUAUCUAUCCCGUUUCCAACAGAAAAUUCUAAAUCUUCUGUUUUCAUUCCGAUUUCAGCACAAGUCAUUUCUGACUUAUGUUUUAUUUCUCUAAAUCCAAUAAAAAUAGCUUCUCACACUAUUUUUAUUUAUUUUUAUUUUUAUACCAAAAUCUGUAUGUUACAUGGGGUGUCUGCUGUGAAGGGGAGAGGGGUUGGGUUCAUUAUAGUGUGCAACAAUUGCAACUAGGCCCCCCAAAAAUUCUUAUUUACAGCAGACCAAUUUGGUGCUGCCAGACCAAAGUGUACUGAUA